rnacentral:rRNA from 1 species
CAGUAGCCGCGGGAAUACGAAGGGGGCUAGCGUUGCUCGGAUUUACUGGGCGUAAAGGGCGCGUAGGCGGACAGUUUAGUUGGGGGUGAAAGCCCGGGGCCCAACCUCGGAAUUGCCUUCAAUACUGGCUGUCUUGAGUACGGGAGAGGUGAGUGGAACUCCGAGUGUAGAGGUGAAAUUCGUAGAUAUUCGGAAGAACACCGGUGGCGAAGGCGACUCACUGGCCCGUUACUGACGCUGAGGCGCGAAAGCGUGGGGAGCAAACAGGAUUAGAUACCCGCGUAGUCCCUGUCUCUUAUAC